UACGUAGGGGGCAAGCGUUGUCCGGAAUCAUUGGGCGUAAAGAGCGUGUAGGCGGCUCGGUAAGUCCGCUGUGAAAGUCCAGGGCUCAACCCUGGAAUGCCGGUGGAAACUGUCGAGCUAGAGUCCGGAAGAGGCGAGUGGAAUUUCUGGUGUAGCGGUGAAAUGCGCAGAUAUCAGGAGGAACACCAAUGGCGAAGGCAGCUCGCUGGGACGGUACUGACGCUGAGACGCGAAAGCGUGGGGAGCAAACAGG
rnacentral:rRNA from 1 species